UGAGUAACACGUGGGCAAUCUGCCCUGCACUUCGGGAUAAGCCUGGGAAACUGGGUCUAAUACCGGAUAGGACCUUUAGGCGCAUGUCUUUAGGUGGAAAGCUUUUGCGGUGUGGGAUGGGCCCGCGGCCUAUCAGCUUGUUGGUGGGGUGAUGGCCUACCAAGGCGACGACGGGUAGCCGGCCUGAGAGGGUGUCCGGCCACACUGGGACUGAGAUACGGCCCAGACUCCUACGGGAGGCAGCAGUGGGGAAUAUUGCACAAUGGGCGCAAGCCUGAUGCAGCGACGCCGCGUGGGGGAUGACGGCCUUCGGGUUGUAAACCUCUUUCACCAUCGACGAAGGUCCGGGUUUUCUCGGAUUGACGGUAGGUGGAGAAGAAGCACCGGCCAACUACGUGCCAGCAGCCGCGGUAAUACGUAGGGUGCGAGCGUUGUCCGGAAUUACUGGGCGUAAAGAGCUCGUAGGUGGUUUGUCGCGUUGUUCGUGAAAUCUCACGGCUUAACUGUGAGCGUGCGGGCGAUACGGGCAGACUAGAGUACUGCAGGGGAGACUGGAAUUCCUGGUGUAGCGGUGGAAUGCGCAGAUAUCAGGAGGAACACCGGUGGCGAAGGCGGGUCUCUGGGCAGUAACUGACGCUGAGGAGCGAAAGCGUGGGGAGCGAACAGGAUUAGAUACCCUGGUAGUCCACGCCGUAAACGGUGGGUACUAGGUGUGGGUUUCCUUCCUUGGGAUCCGUGCCGUAGCUAACGCAUUAAGUACCCCGCCUGGGGGAGUACGGCCGCAAGGCUAAAACUCAAAGGAAUUGACGGGGGGCCCGCACAA
rnacentral:rRNA from 1 species